GAUCAGUGGCUCGAGACGAACGCUGGCGGCGUGCUUAACACAUGCAAGUCGAACGGUGACGGAGAGCUUGCUCUCCUGAUCAGUGGCGAACGGGUGAGUAACACGUGGGCAACCUGCCCCAGACUUCGGGAUAACGCUUCGAAAGAGGUGCUAAUACCGAAUACGAACGCCGUGGGCAUCCACGGUGUUGGAAAGUUUUUCGGUCUGGGAUGGGCCCGCGGCCUAUCAGCUUGUUGGUGAGGUAAUGGCUCACCAAGGCGACGACGGGUAGCCGGCCUGAGAGGGCGACCGGCCACACUGGGACUGAGACACGGCCCAGACUCCUACGGGAGGCAGCAGUGGGAAUAUUGCGCAAUGGCGAAAGCCUGACGCAGCAACGCCGCGUGGGGGAUGAAGGCCUUCGGGUUGUAAACCUCUUUCAGCAGGGAAGAAGCGAAAGUGACGGUACCUGCAGAAGAAGCACCGGCUAACUACGUG
rnacentral:rRNA from 1 species